UGCUGGAGGUAUCAGAAGUGCGAAUGCUGACAUAAGUAACGAUAAAGCGGGUGAAAAGCCCGCUCGCCGGAAGACCAAGGGUUCCUGUCCAACGUUAAUCGGGGCAGGGUGAGUCGACCCCUAAGGCGAGGCCGAAAGGCGUAGUCGAUGGGAAACGGGUUAAUAUUCCCGUACUUGGUGUUACUGCGAAGGGGGGACGGAGAAGGCUAUGUUGGCCGGGCGACGGUUGUCCCGGUUUAAGCGUGUAGGCUGGUUUUCCAGGCAAAUCCGGAAAAUCAAGGCUGAGGCGUGAUGACGAGGCACUACGGUGCUGAAGCAACAAAUGCCCUGCUUCCAGGAAAAGCCUCUAAGCAUCAGGUAACAUCAAAUCGUACCCCAAACCGACACAGGUGGUCAGGUAGAGAAUACCAAGGCGCUUGAGAGAACUCGGGUGAAGGAACUAGGCAAAAUGGUGCCGUAACUUCGGGAGAAGGCACGCUGACACGUAGGUGAAGUGAUUUACUCAUGGAGCUGAAGUCAGUCGAAGAUACCAGCUGGCUGCA
rnacentral:rRNA from 1 species